GCAGAGAGCUGCGUGCUCUUUCUAAGCACGUGUCCCUGUUCUGUCUCUGGAAAAGUCUGAGCAAAUCUGACUUUUACCCUCAGUGAAAGGAGUGUGAUUCUGUUCCAGCCCAGUGUUUGUUCCCUGGGAGGCUGCAGUGACAGCUCUGUGUGCCUAACUCUGUGUAAGCACAAGGCUGACCCUUCCCUGCUGCACUGAACAUUGCUGAAGCAUUUGAGAUCCUGUAUGGAAAUUGCAGCAGAAUAUUUUGGUUGCUUUUCCCUGGUCACUGUAAAAGCACAGUGUGAGCUCUUGUUUUGGAAGAAUCUGGAGGGAGUAAUGAGCUUGUGUUGAAGGUUGAGGGGUUUUGAUUUUUUUUUUAAUUUUUUUUUUAGGGAAACAUGUUUGUUUUAAGUAAAUUGAAAAGGACUCUGAACACUCAUGAGAGCAGCUUUUAAUUGCUUUGUAGCAAGUGUUAUUUUUCUUCACAAUCUCACAAUUAACCUACUCCCUGUGGCUUCCCAGUGUAAGUUCUGCUGUUGGUACAAAUUGAUUUUGCCUGUGCCUUUUGUAUUGGGAGGAGAGGGGAAAUUAAUUCCCAGUGCCCUUGGCUCACUGGAAAUCUUUUCCUGCCAGGGUCUCUGAAUCUAAAUGGUCUUCUGGGAUUAUUUAAGGACUGAGCAUCUUUGUAUUGUCCUGAAUGGCAUUUCAUUCCCUUUCACCACCCCCUCCAGUCUUUAUUUUUUCCUAGAAUUUAAAUUGCAGCUCGUAUUACCAAUGAGCACGAUUAUGCAGGUGUGAGUGACUCAGUGAUAAACCUUGUGUUUCAGUGGCUUGUUAAAUUUGCAGAGAGAGUGGGGAAAAAAUCCUGUCAUUUUGAGCUGAAAAUGCGAAUGCCUGAACUAAACCAGCAAUUCAUUAUAUUUGAAGGGAAGUUUGGACAGGGAUUUGCUUGCCUAAAUAGAAAUUGUCUUUGAAUUAGUCUGUGACAGUCUUUUUAUGAAAACUCUAAGAGUUUUAUUUUGCUGUCAGUGCCUAAUCAGUACAUAAUGGCAGCUUGAGUUAGUGAAGAGGUAGCAAAUGCAUGUAGUUUGGACAACUUCCAGGGCCAUAAAUAGACUGGCACACAUUUCUUUUAAAACCUUGAUCUGAGCAGCAAAGAAGCACGUGUGUAAGCAGUGUCACCAAUUCCUGCAGUGCAUGGCUGUGGAAGUGGCAAGGACAGUAAAAUCCCAACAGAGAGCAGUGGCUCUGUGUGCUGGUGUGCCAGCAUGGACAUACAGCUGUCUGUGGCCGGGUGUCUCAAGUUUUGGCACUUUUUUUUUUUUAAAGUGGAGAGGUGUGGGGGAAUAGUGACAUUAGAUAGAGCUGUAAGUGCUGUCUGAAGUGGCCAGCCCCGUGUCUGUGCUUUGUGCAGACGUGGAAUGGUUGCUGCAGGCUGUCAGUCAUUGUUUGCUGUGCAGGGUGAAUCACACAGACCUCACUGGUGGGGAGCCAUGCACAGGCACACCCCAGGCUGGGAGUGUCCCUGCUCUGUGCCUCUUCUGGAUGUGUCUUCUGCAACACCCAGAACGAGCAGAUAUCACUGGAGAGGAGAAAACACAUCUUACAGUCUGACAGUGCACAGGAGAAUAAGAAAUGAUGGCCAGAGAUGCCAGAAAUCAGCCAGGAAGGAUUUCCAAGAACAUGCCCUCAAGCACUGAGAGCAGCUUCCACUGCCAAGAGGCUGCUCGUGACAAGUAAAGACAGACUGGGUGGGGGUUUGGAGCAGUGCUUGAGUCAGUGAACCAAAGAUUUGCAGCCACAACCAACUAUUAGUAACAGAUGGUUUGAUCCUGGAACUGGAGGUCAGAACCCAAAGGCUGGUGAUGUUGAGGCACAUUUGUCUUGCUCAGUAGUCAAGGGGGAGUGUCAAAUAAAACAUCCAGCCUGCUCCUUGGUUUCACCCUGUGGGCUGUGAUAACCUAUUCUGCCCCUUGAGGAGGACAGAGGUUCCCAGGGACCCUGAAAGACCGUGCACAAUGACAUGGCCAUCACCGUGUCACACAGGGCUGCUCCUUUCUGUGGAUCAUGGAUAUCUUUUAGCAGUCCCUUAAAUGCCUGUGGUCACAGUCUGUCUCACUUAGGGUAGGGUUUAAUGUUUGUCUCUUUAGUUGCUGUUGGUGUGCUUUGCUCUAUAAUUUUUGACCCCUUCACUUGAAAAGUGGAUCUCGGGUCUGUGCUUUCAUUGCUUUGCCCUCUUGUGUAAGUGAUGAAAAAGAUGUGCUGAGGAUGUCAGCUUCACUCAUUCCUUGUACUUCUGUUGCUAGCAGGGUUUUUAAAAGCAGAGAAAUAAGUGAUCUCAUUCUGUUGCAGUGAUUUGUAGACAGAAUUACCAUUAUCAUCUUUCUCUGUGUAUGUGGCUGUUGUUCUUCCCUUCACUGUCUUUUCUCAAAUACAUCUUGACAUAGAACAUGUCCAUACAGGGAUCUUCAGGAAAGUGAAUUAAAUUAAGUAGAGGUGUGAAUUUAAAAAGGAUUAUUUAAACCUCAUUAAACCUCUGUGUUUGCACACUUUUCAAAAUUAAAGUUGCUUUAAUUUGAUUUCAGUUCACUCCACUUCCUAAGUGGAGAAAUCUCAAUUUAAUUAAAGCAAAUUAAUUGAGUAAAUGUCCAAAGACAGAUUUAAUGUCAGGUGGAAAAGGAGCAUUCAAGGAAAAUGAGUGAAAGGGAAGUUGAGCUUAUUCAAAACUAAUAAAAGCAUAAACUCUUUCUAGUCUGAGAUGUUGCAAGAAUUAGAUGUGAUCUGUGGCAAACACUGUAAUUGUUAUCUUGUAAAGGAUACCAUCAACAAGUGAGAGCCAUUUCUUUUGGCUCAUAUGAGCAAGCUCUCAUCACUCCUUCAGUUCUGGGCACCAGCCCAAUAUUGUGAAAGGAGAAAGCUACGUGUAUUGAAUGUCUUCUCUUUUUACUUUAUUCAUUCCUUUAGGAACCAGAGUAGAUUUAUACCAAAUAAUAACCUGUUUGUUUUGAUUUUACCUCCCCUGCCUCCUCCAUCUGUUUCUUGCACAAUAUUUUUCUAAUGCUUUUCUCUUGAGGAGAAAAGAGACUGGGAGGAAGAGGGGUGAAAACACAUCCCUGCUUUCAUGUGAAGGAGCUCAUCUCCACCUGUGCAAGAGGUGCUCAGCCAAAUUUCAUUUCUAUCUUGUUUCCAAAGAAAUUCAGGUCGGGUCCCUAUCUGUCAGUUCAACAGCAGCAAUGGUGAGAAAAGUGAAGGGAUGUCAUUCGUGGCAGCAGCAGGGAGGAAGGACAAGGCAAGAUGUUACGUGGUGUUGGAGGUGCUCAGCCUGACCUUCAGUCUGAUUUUCAUCAUCUGAGAAAUGCAGUAAUUAAUGAACAAGCUUCUCUGCUGCAGAGGCAAGAUUUGAGCAGCAUUAAACAUCAUAAAAGCCAGGAAAAAGGUGAGGUUUACAGUCCUAAGACCUGUUACCUCUUUGGACAGGGUGAAGCACCAGGGGUGGUAGCUUUGUUCAUGCUUGUACUCUGUGUUGGGUUAGUAAAUCCAAGCAUAUGGAUGAAGAGUUCUGGAAGUAUUUUCAGUUUCCUUGUUUUGCCUCUGUGACUGAAUGAAUAUUUAGUGGACUGAAGCUCAUCCUGGGAUAAGCUAGGCUGGCAGUUUGUAAUUUUUUUAUCCUCUUAUGUUGUAUUUUUAACAGUAGAAAUGAGCUUCUCUGGGUUUCCCCUUUGCUCCCUGGCUUGUAGCUGGGUAAUUUUUUUGGUGUGGGGAUUUUGGGUUCUUCCCCAUCUCUCUUCAUAUGGAGCUCCAUGCAAAGGACUUUUCUAAUGGGAGCAGAACUUGUGUCUUCUUCCAACACUUCCUUCAUCCCUGGAGAUGUUUAUGAGCCAGUGCCUGCCCCCACCAGCUUCAGGAGCAUCUCAGAGUCAUUCAGAAGCCAAGUUUUGCCCACUCUCACAGCAGGGCAGCUCAAAAGUACAAACUGCAUGGUCAGAGGGAGAGAAUGUAGGUUCCUGCUGUUUCCUCUAUGUAAUGUUUAUUCAUUAGAAUCAUAUUGUAUCAAAGUGUUGGUAUCUGACACUGGUUCUCCUUUCUACUUUGUUAAACCCAAACCCCAGGUUUCAGACAUCUCAUGGUCAUGCAGUUCAAGAGGUACAAAUUUGGUUUUGGGUUUGAUUUUGUCAUUGGGCUGUGCAAAGAAAGGGAAAAAAGGACACAGUUAACAAAGAUGUCUGUGUAGGAGAUGAUGUAUGCUAAAUUCAGAGACUGUUCAAACAGACUUUUAACAAAAAAGCGAAUAUAAUAGAGAACUUCAGCAUUUUCCCCCAAAACUCUUUUGAUGGAAGUGCAAUGUGUAGGGAGGCUACUGGUUUCUCUAGCAGCAGUAAAUUACAUGAUAUAGAUAUAAAUUUUUUCAAGUUUUCUGAAUAGAGACAUAGGUAUUUAGAUUGACCUGUGUUAAUAAGGCAAAAGUAUCUCUGACAUAAGUAAUUUUAUGCUUAUAUUUUAUUCAGACAACUUACUGCUGAGGGAUUGAUGAUACUGGUCCUUAGAUACCAUUUAAAACUAAGGUAAUAGCUAAUGGAGGCUAGUUGAAAUUAAUAAAAAAUGCUGUUAUGUUUGAUUUGCAUGUCAGUAAUACAGGUUAAAAAACUAAAAUGCUAUUGGAGAGUUGUCAAGGCAGCUCUUUGCAUUUGUUAUUGCCUUCUAGCAGGUGCAAACCCUAUUUCUUUGAAUUGGAAACAUCUACAUUUUACAAUCAGUCAGAGCCAGCAACCUCCUAUGUCUGAGUCACAGUAUUCAGGUUUUCACAGGCUCUGCAGUGAGACACAAAUGUAAAUUUCCUCCUGUGGAUGUUUUUCAGCUGACUGAUGGUGAGCAGUUGCCUAAACAUGAUGCUCUUUGUCAGCCAGUCUCUGAUCAGGGACUUUUCUGGAUUCUAAGUUCUGGGGAAUUUAGGAGGAGAGAAGGCAAAGACAUGGUGAUGAGGAGUGAGAUGCCCAGAGCUGCCCAGCUGAUCACUGGCAGACUUGUCCCAGCUCUUCUGACACCCUUUUCCUUAGGGCUAGAUAUCCGUGAUUUUGCACUCGAGCUGCUGCAAGAUCAGUGAUUGCUUCAGGGUGAUGUCCACCUUGGCACUGAGCUGGCAGUGGGUAGUGGCACUACCUGCUGCCACCUUUUAUGCUUAUGACAGUACAAGGAGAAGGUACAUGUGAGUAACUGGCUCACAUUUGACCUUGUUUUGUGCAGCUGAGUUGAAGUCCAGGAGGGUUUUGAUUUAUGUGAGGAAGGGAUACGUGUGCAAGGUACCAAGCUUGUGAUUUUUUUUUUCCCUACUAUCUGCAAGACCAGGCUGUAGGAAAGGAAAGACUGGGCUGGUUUAUUAUAUAGCAUUAGCAAAUGCAUGUGGUUUUGUUUCCUCUCUGCAACAUCUUGCCUUUUAGUGGAAAGAAGCAGUCAAUAGGAACCAGGUGCUGAUUGGUGUAAGAGUUUCUGUAAGCUGUUAUCUGCUUAUUUGAACUUUAAGGUCUUGACAUGGGUUCUUGUCUUGCCCAGACUGUGCUGGCAGUUGUAGUUCUUCUGAGAAAGCUGGAGUGAGCAGACAGUGAAGCCAUUCAAAACAGAAGUUACUUUAUCCUUCCAUUUCCUAUUGUGAAACUUUCUCAUUAGGGUGAAUUUCUUACCCCCUGCAAAUCAAGCACUGAAAUGAUGGAAGCUCUGCCUUCAAAGCCUGUUUGCCAUACUUUAAAAGCAGGGAAUGUCUUCCCUGUUAAGAACAGAGAUCAAAAUGUUUUGUACACAGUCAGUGCCCAAGUAAAAAUGAACCCUCUUGGAAACUACAGUCCCUGUUCCCAAAGGAUGUAGCCAAGCAUCUCUGUUAGUGAGGCUGGGUGGGAAAGCAGUGUGAGGAUGUCAGGGGCCUGGGUACCUCCCAGCUCCUGGGAAGCUGAGCUGCUGGGACAGAGUGGGAAUUGGAUUGUUGUUCUGUGGGGCUGGUGGACCUUGGGCUGAGCUCUGGCAGAAGCUCAGUGAUGUGUUGCUGCUUUUCCAUCCUAUGCCAAAGCUUUAAUGAAAAACAUUUAAGGAAAUAUUAAGGAAAUAGUUGCAAUAUUUGUGUCUGCUCUACAUGGCAUAAACUGCAUUUUGCAAAUUCCACAGUGUAGAAAAACAAAGAGAAGGUUUUCUCAUCCUUAGUUUUGAACUGUGGUACAGCUUAUGAAUAAGCUUCUAGCAAAAUUAACAGACAAAUGUUAAUAUUUAGAGCAAAUAACCUUUCUUUUUUUUUUUCCCCCCUCAACUUUCUUCUGCUUCAUUGUGUAAACUAAUUAACAAUAAAGACUUAAACAAGCACUGUAGCAAAGUAAGUGUUGUCUUUACAUAUAUAAUUGUAAUUAAAAGGCAUUUCCUUAUGGUCUUUCAAAUCUAAAUCCUUAUACAAUAGGGUCUCUCUACUACAAUGACUUUCAGAGGUUUCAUUAGUUCUCAGUGUACCAGCAUUUAUCGUUUUCUGCUCUCUCUCCUAAAAACUUAGUGGCUGUUAAGAUUGAGAAUUGCAUUGCAGCGCUGUCUACGCUAAUUAGGUUUUUUCCCAGCUUUGGUUUAUGCCUCAGAGAUGUGCUGCAGAAAAAAAAAAAAACAAAAAAACCCCAGCCAGAUAAAGAAAGCUGUUAGAGAACUAAUGAAUCUGUGCAGCUUGACUGAGAGGUGGUGUGAGCUGAUGGCAGCAGGCUCUGGGGCAGGGAGCGUGUUGGGGACUAACAGUCCAUGGAGAGCCUGAUCUCACCCAGGUCAAACGUGACCCCUCUGCCUCAUUGCUUUGAUUGUAGAACCAGAUCAGGACAGCCCUGUUGGCAAAUAAAAAGAUGCUGCCAAGAGUGCUUUGUACUCUCUUUCGUGAAAUGCUUUGCUGCCUUCCACCAAGAGGGGGGAAUCAAGUGUUCCAAGACCUUUCCCUGAAAAUGUGGCUGGGGGAGAGUAAGGACUGAGUGGUCAUUCUGUGGCUUCCUACAUAAAGUUGCCUCCUGUCUGCUGCAAGCACACAGUCCUGUCGUGCUCCUUUGUUCUCCAAGCAUGGGUGUGUGUGGAAAUCUUAUGAGCAAAGAAAAUGCUGGUCAGGAUGCCCUGGCCAGCCUGAAUUGCAAUUCAGAGCUCCCCCUUAGAAAUGCAGUAGCAGGCUCCAGUUGCCCCCAGCAUGGGCAGUUAUGGGCACAGGAGAGGGUGGAAACCUUGGAGCCAUCCUGCUGCAUGUGGCCAAAGCAUGCAGUCACUUUGGUUAAGAACAGCCUCGUUCUCUUCACUCUCCUUUUUAUGCUUACUGGUUUCUCCUUUGUUUAAGCAAAAGUCUUGGUGCCAAGAUUUUUAUUUGUUGAAGUGUUUAAUGGCCAGGGCUGCUGUGAUACUUGGUGCCUCUGAGAUGGACACAGAUGAGGCAGUGAGCAAUGUAAUUCCCUCUGGCAUGGAGAAAUGAUCAGAAAUCUGCUGCUGUAGUGUGGUCAUUGACAUGAAAUACAAAAGUGAGAGGUAUUUUAAGUAGAGUUUUUUUCCCAUCCCUCCCUUUCAUUUUUUUUUUUUUUUUUUAGCCUAUGGCUUUCAAUCAACCAAAAAUAGUGUUCAGUUGUAGCCAGCAUUUCUCCCUCUGACAUUAUCGAUGAAAGGUUCAAAUUGAAGAUUCCCUGUAGCAGCCUGUCAUUUUGCAAGUGCCAGCAGCCAGACUUGAGACUCAGUCCUGGCAGUGAGGACUUAUCCUGCUUAGCUCCAAGCUGGGCUCAUCAGGGUACGAGCAAGCCUUAAAUCUGCCACAUGACAGUCAACUGCAGUGAUUUUGCACAGUCAAAGAAAUGCUAUCUUAUCUCUUUUAUGCAGUAUUGGCAUCAUGUACUGGGGGUUGUUGUGUGUUUUAGUUUACAUGGAGUAGCUCUGGGCAGAUAGCUGCCAUAAUGAGACUUUCAAGAGCAUUAACCCUUGGAACAGGGAGCUCAUUUGGCUCUAAAUCAAGAAAUGAAAACGCACAGGAGAGGGAGAGGGAAAAAUUAAUCAGAAGCUGUUUUGAUAAAAACAUUGUGCUUUUGGCAGAAGUCCUGCUGAGCACACUGCAUCCAGGACACACAGCUUUGUUGUAGUCUCUUACUUCUUUUU